AUUGAACGCUGGCGGCAUGCCUUACACAUGCAAGUCGAACGGCAGCGGGGGAGAAGCUUGCUUUUCCUGCCGGCGAGUGGCGAACGGGUGAGUAAUACAUCGGAACGUGCCCUGUAGAGGGGGAUAACUAGUCGAAAGAUUAGCUAAUACCGCAUACGACCUGAGGGUGAAAGUGGGGGACCGCAAGGCCUCAUGCUAUAGGAGCGGGCGGUGUCUGAUUAGCUAGUUGGUGGGGUAAAGGCCUACCAAGGCGACGAUCAGUAGCUGGUCUGAGAGGACGAUCAGCCACACUGGGACUGAGACACGGCCCAGACUCCUACGGGAGGCAGCAGUGGGGAAUUUUGGACAAUGGGCGAAAGCCUGAUCCAGCAAUGCCGCGUGUGUGAAGAAGGCCUUCGGGUUGUAAAGCACUUUUGUCCGGAAAGAAAUGGCUCUGGUUAAUACCUGGGGUCGAUGACGGUACCGGAAGAAUAAGGACCGGCUAACUACGUGCCAGCCGCCGCAGUAA
rnacentral:rRNA from 1 species